AAAGGGAGACCUAAUUCCGGUAGGAGACGAAAGAAAAGUAGUCCCAACCAAGAAUCAAUCCCAAAAGGUCGGAGCGAGGCGAAAUUGGCUUUCAAACUAGGUUCUGGGUUCACACAAGACCUGAAUCAGGAACAAGGGCUAUUAGCUCAGGUGGUUAGAGCGCACCCCUGAUAAGGGUGAGGUCCCUGGUUCGAGUCCAGGAUGGCCCACCUGCACAGGUGGCAAAAACAAAGAAAAAAAGCUCCGAAUCAGCACCUUAUCUUACUUAUACAGUAAGAGAGAAUGCUGGCUCUGAGUUCAGAGUCCAGAGGAACCUUGAAAACUGCAUAGAGCUAGGUGAAAAAGCCAAAAAAGAAGACCGCAAG
rnacentral:tRNA from 1 species